GUCUGACAGAGAGCAGGUAGAUACAUUACACCACGAAUGCCUCUGCCCCGACUCAGUAUAAAGUAUUAAUAACUCAGAAGAACAUAAGAAAAGGAUGUGAUAUGCACCUCUACACCUAACUUUUGCUUUUAUAUCUUAAAGCAAAAAAUAUCCAUGAUGUACAGUAAAAUAUGAGUGUAGAGGUGGGCAAAGUACCAGUGGUGGUGGUGGUGCAGCAAUUUGAUCCCAGCAAUUGGGAGGCAGAGCCAGGCAGAUCUGUGAGUUCGAGGCCAGCCUGAUCUACAAAGUGAGUUCCUGAACAGCCAGGGCUGUUACACAGAGUAACCCUGUCUUGAAAUACCCCCGCUCCCAAAAAAGUAGACAAAACCAUCAACCAUUUUUCUGUGUGUGUGUCUGUGCACACGCACUCAUUAGAGUAAUUGUGUGCAUGCUUGUGUAAAUGUGCAGGCCAGAGGGUAAUGUCAAGUGUCUUUCCUCUAUUGCCCUCUACCUUGAUUUUUAGUUUCUGAGACAAGGCUGUCAGUGAACCUGAAGCGCAUGGGAUCAGCAAGAUGGCUUAGCCAGUGAGCUUCAGGACCCAUCAUUUGUGCCCCCUGCACCUCUUCCUCCAGGCUGGGGUUGCAGGACUCACUGCUAGGCCCAGUUUUUUCAUGAGGUUCUUCUCGGUAUCCAAACUCAGGUCCUCAAGCUUGUGCAGCAGUUACUUUACCUACAGACACCUCCUCAGCCCCAGUGCAUCUGUUUCCACUCAACUGUACACAAGAGUACCCAAUAAUAGUAUAAAAAGGAAAGUUGUUAGUACAGCUCUAAAGGUUUCUAAAGCAGACUAACCAGCAACAAGUGUUCUUACCACGGCCUAGACAGUCAUUAGAAGCAAAUGUUAAUGCAAAUACGAGACACGGAAAUGGCAAAACAGACAUACUUUCUGCUUGUUUAGCCAUCUCUGGCUGAUAGGCCUGUGGCUUGUCCUGGGUAGGUGCAGGAGAGCUGGCAGGACUUAUCACCUCAAUAGCAUCACUAGGUGCUUCAUACCUGUGAGAAGACACUUUAAGAAAAGAACCUCAUUUUAAAAUAAAUCCAUGGAAAGGUUCAAAAGUCCACGUUCUUCAAAGCUAUUUGCAAAUUUUAGUUGUUUUAUUCUGCUAAAAAAUGUCCAGUAGCAUUCUAUACUAGGAAUAAAACUUAAUCAAACCCAACAGACUAUUAAAGGUGCCUCUGUGCUCCUAAUCUCAAUAGGUUGUAGGUUCUUUAAGCAUGAGAUGAAGCAGAAUUAAGAUUUGUCCCCUGGAACCUUGAAAAGAAACCACAGGCUAACAUUCAUCAAAGGAGAUUAAUGAGUAAGUGAGGGGUAGAUCUCAACCAUUAAUUGAUCCCAAUAAUUCCAUUUUGGUGGGACAAUCUGAUCUUAACAAACAGGCCAUAAAGCUGCUUCACUGCCCCAAGACUAAGUUACUGCUUAGAAAAUGCUAUGAUGAGUUUCUCAGAUAACUCAAGCAUUACACUGGGGAAGUGAACAGGAGUGGUAGGAAAUCUGUGAAGGAAAUUACUUCAAAGAGAGGGAACGUAUCAACCAAUUCUGGAGGAUGCCCACACAGACCCCUCUAAGAUACAUACAGCUCUCAAGAAAAUUGAUGGGUUCUGCAGAUGUAGAUCAUGGGUAGCAUUCUAGAAACCUGCCAUGCUUUAGAGUUGGGAUUUGGGGAGAGUCAGGUAGAACUUGGUAAGAAACUUCUGUUAGAGGCCAUCUCCAGUCUGUACCAGACCCUGAGUCAGGGUUACGACCUUGGCUGAACACAGGCAUAAGUGAACUACUUGGCCACUGCAUAAUGCUCUUACUAUUCAAAUGGACAUCUCUACAUACCUCCCACCUGUCAUGGAAAUCAAUGCUUAGGAGCUAAAAUAAACCACUAUGUUGUAAGUAACUUUCUGACUUGAAAGUUUUGUAUUUAUUGUUACUCAUCAAUGCUUAUGAACCAACAUCUUUUUUUUUUUUUUUUUUUUUUUUUGGUUUUUCGAGACAGGGUUUCUCUGUGUAGCUUUGUGCCUUUCCUGGAACUCGCUCUGUAGCCCAGUCUGGCCUCGAACUCACAAAGAUCCGCCUGCCUCUGCCUCCCGAAUGAACCAACAUCUUAAACGACAAGAACUGACAGUAUUCUGCAAACUAUAUUCAUGUUGCUCUUGAAGAUUAGGGUGCAAGGUGAAGGCUAAGGGGGGGGCUCUCAGAGUCACACUGAAAAGGACACUGAGUAGUUGUUAGGAGCCUAUGUAUCAUGCUGGAUAUUGCCAGUGAUAGAAAAGAUAACUCCACUCAAAAGUAGGAACAUGAGGAUCUAAGAGUGGGCUUUCUAUUUUCAGACUGCUGAGAAACGAAAUCCCAAAGCAGAGUUUGGUAUGUGCACAGACUGCAACAGACUUAAUCCCUGACUCCCCACCAAGAUGCCCUGCAUUCCUGCUCUCCUUGAGCUAGCAGACUUUGAAUGUUGAAAAUCUAUGUUGUAAACUUCCUUAACUCCAGGUUAAAGGGUGUAUUUCUUCUACAGUUUAUUCCCAAUGCCAAUUCUCUGUGAAAAUUUUGCCAACAACUUGUAAUUACCUAAGUGAAUACUUGGUGAUAAAAACCGAACUCUAUUCCAGUACUACUGAAUUUCCUUAAUGGAGAUACUAAAAAAAUGACUACAUGAUUAAACUGCUUCCAGUCAUCACAACUGCUAAUUUAAGCAUGCUUGUCUUUCUCUAAAAUUCCAUAUAGAAUAUAUUUAGGUCAUAGCUAAGAAACAAAUUAAAUUAUAUUUAUUCAUUUAUAUAUUUACUUCUGUGUAUGGAAAGCCAUUAUCCCUGCACACAUGGGAAGGUGGAUUGAUGGUAUGGUUAGUUCUCUCCUUCUACUAUGGGGUUCAGAGCAUCAGAUUUAGUGGUAAGUACCUUUACCUGCUGAGCCAUCUCAUCACCCCUAAGAAAGUUUAAAAAGCAUUUUUGUGUAUUAUUUUGAUACUUACUUGCAGAACAAACAUCACAGUAACUAGCCAGACCGAAUCAAAAUCCAAUUCUCAAGAAAGACACAAAGUGAGUACCAGUCACUAAUAGGCUCACUUCAAAAACAAAAACAAAAACAAAACCACUGCUUUAAAAAAAGGACACAGGAGACUUUGGGAGAUUAGUGAAUUUAGCAAACAAUUUCUCAGAGAAUACACUAUGGGAGCACAGAUCUUGAAGAUAUUCCCAUUUCAGAUGCCUAAAUACCGUCAGAAGCUCUAUUUUCCAUCUAGCCACUUCUAAUUCUAUGGGUUUUUUCCCUAGGUAAUAUAUUGAUGGGCUUAUACUUAUAGGGCAUGGGAAUAUGUAAGUCAUAAGAAUAUUAGAAGAUACAUUUUUGCACCCACAAUAUUUUCUCUCCUAUUACUGUCAGGCAUUAGGAUUGUUUCAUACCAGGCCGUGCUUUACCUAAAGAAUAAAGUCACUCUUUACUCAGAUACCACAUUGUGAAACUCAGAUUGAGAUACAUACAGCUACUAGAAGAGUCUGAACUUUGAGAGCCACGGUCCCUCGCAUCCUUGUCCGAGGCAAUUUGCCGGGUGAUGAUCACGUCUAUGAAGUUAGCUGCAGUAAUGGUAGUCUUCCCUCGGGUCCUUAGCUCUUCCUCAUAUCUGGAUUUUGGAGGAGGCCCCUUAUCUUUCCCAGCCUCAGAAUACACUACUGAGGCAUGAGGCUGGGGCUUGCCACUCGGAAGGGCUGAAGAAGUGCACACACACUGAACAGAUCUCUUCUCCACCUCCAGGUUUUUCUGCUCUAGCUGCUGCUGUUCACUAACUGCUGCUGACCUGCUUCUCAAAUUUUCUUCUAACCUGGCAGCUUCAUGCUUACUCUCUUUUGUUUUGGAAACAUCCAUCUGGGGUGCAGAAGCUGCAGCGUCCACAAGAGCAGCCAGGGCAUCCGCAGCAGUGUUGUAGCGGGAGGCUGGCAGGCCUUGGCUUAUGGAAGGGCCCCCAGCAGGCAGUGGCCUGUAAACAAAGAAAAUAAAGGCAUUUCUAUCUCGAUUCCAGAAAGGAAAGAAGAGCCAAUAACAAAGUGCUACGUAUCUCAGACGCUAAUCCUGCAGACUGCUGCAGAUUCUGCUACGGUUAGUACGCUCUCCCAGAUCAAACAGCUUUCCAUCCAUCACAAAAAGACACAUACAGCAGCUGCAUUACAGUGUGGGGUUCCUGCACUCAACCCUGGUUCUUCCUGUUUUACCUCUUUGUGUGUACAGACAGGCGUGCAUGGGUGUGCAUGGCCAGAGAUCAAUCCCUGUCAUCCCAGGUACUUUCCACCUUGUUUUUUAAGAGAGUCUCUCACUAGCUUGAAAUCCAAAGACUGGGCAGGCAAGCUGACGAGUGAACAGCAGGGAUCCAACUGUGGAAGCCUCUCCACAUUGCUAUUACAAGUCCAUGGCACCACACCUAGUGUUUGUUCCAUGGUUUGGGAACCAAACUCAGGCUGCCACACUUGUGUGGCGAGCACUUUACCAACUGA